rnacentral:rRNA from 1 species
GACGAACGCUGGCGGCGUGCUUAACACAUGCAAGUCGAACGGAAAGGCCCUGCUUUUGUGGGGUGCUCGAGUGGCGAACGGGUGAGUAACACGUGAGUAACCUGCCCUUGACUUUGGGAUAACUUCAGGAAACUGGGGCUAAUACCGGAUAGGAGCUCCUGCUGCAUGGUGGGGGUUGGAAAGUUUCGGCGGUUGGGGAUGGACUCGCGGCUUAUCAGCUUGUUGGUGGGGUAGUGGCUUACCAAGGCUUUGACGGGUAGCCGGCCUGGGUGGGUGACCGGCCACAUGGGGACUGCGAUACGGGCCAGGCUCCUACGGGGGGCAACAGGGGGGAAUAUUGCACAAUGGGCGGAAGCCUGAUGCAGCAACGCCGGGUGCGGGAUGACCGCCUUCGGGUUGUAAACCGCUUUCGCCUGUGACGAAGCGGUAGUGACGGUAAUGGGUAAAGAAGCACCGGCUAACUACGUG